rnacentral:rRNA from 1 species
UACGUAGGUGGCAAGCGUUGUCCGGAUUUACUGGGCGUAAAGAGCGUGUAGGCGGCCUUAUAAGUCGGCUGUGAAAGUCAAGGGCUCAACCCUUGAAUGCCGGCCGAUACUGUGAGGCUAGAGUCCGGAAGAGGCGAGUGGAAUUCCUGGUGUAGCGGUGAAAUGCGCAGAUAUCAGGAGGAACACCGAUGGCGAAGGCAGCUCGCUGGGACGGUACUGACGCUGAGACGCGAAAGCGUGGGGAGCGAACAGG